rnacentral:rRNA from 1 species
UACGUAGGGUGCGAGCGUUAAUCGGAAUUACUGGGCGUAAAGCGUGCGCAGGCGGUUUGUUAAGACAGAUGUGAAAUCCCCGGGCUUAACCUGGGAACUGCAUUUGUGACUGGCAAGCUAGAGUAUGGCAGAGGGGGGUAGAAUUCCACGUGUAGCAGUGAAAUGCGUAGAGAUGUGGAGGAACACCGAUGGCGAAGGCAGCCCCCUGGGCCGACACUGACGCUCAGGCACGAAAGCGUGGGGAGCAAACAGG